rnacentral:tRNA from 1 species
ACUAUUUUGGCAGAUGAAGUGUAAAAGAUUUAGAAUCUUUAUAUAUGAUUUAUAAUCAUAGAUAGUA